GUGCUCGCUUCAGCAGCACAUAUACUAAAACUGGAACGAUACAGAGAAGAUUAGCAUGGCUCCUGCACAAGGAUGACACGCAAAUUCGUGAAGCGUUCCAUAUUUUU
rnacentral:snRNA from 1 species